GUCAGAACAAAGCUCCUCCACCGUCCUCACUUUCGGUCGCUCCGCCGCCGUAUCUCCGGUCACCGCUCGCCGUGCAAUCUCUGCCCAGCCACCAAUCGCUUCGCCCCAUAGCUCCGACAUGCCUCUAUUGUUGGUUGUUCAUCUCCCCUUUCUUUAAUCGCUCCUUCUCUCUCACUCUGUUUCGUAAUCUCCCAUUCCCUCUUUGUUUCUGAAUCACUCCUCUCUCUCAUUCUCGAUUUUUCGAAUCUGGGUAAGGAAAAGGGUAGAGGCGGCGGUUGUGAUAAGGGUUUGGGGUUGAGGUAUUGAUUUGGGGUUAAGAAAGGGUGAAGGGUUCCAUGGUUGAGGGAGAAGGAGGUGUGGCUUCCAUUAGAUUGUACGAGAACGCGUUUUCUGAUCCAAUUGAUGAUGGAGGCUUUCAUCAUGAUGUAGAAGAUGUGAACCGACGAUGACGCAAGAUACAGUGCACUUUUGUACCUUAAGCUUCACUUCCCCGAUUUCAUCAUCCAUUUCAGAUUCGUGGCUCCAAUGGUGUACCGACAGAUGAGUUUCCUUUAUCCAAUUCUUCACUCAAUUGAUCGUACAAAUAGUUAACCUACUAAUAUUCAAUCAAUGUCCUACGGGUUAUAGAGUAUAGAGUAAUGGCUUUCUUUCAAUCCCACUCCUAUAAAUACUCCUAUGCUUUUGGAGAGUGUGUGUUCUCAUGGUUAAACUUUACAUUGUUUUAUUGUUUCAGCCAUGGUUCUUCUGGAGGUUGUAUUCAACCACUCAGGUUUUUUGGAAACCUAAUUUCACUGUUUUAUUUAAAUCCAUUGGCUUUUUUGUUUUAUGAAGACCGUUUGUUGUUUGUUUUCCUAGUCACAAGAAAGAGGACAAGUUGUUUGGCAGAGUUCCACAAUUCAAGAGGAAGUAAAAACUUCUAGAGAAGAUUGAGACAAGUAUUUGAAAAACAAUGAUCCUCUAAUUCAGGGGUGAGGUUGCUGAGGGUAAGGUGUAUAAGAUUAUAUAAUUCUCUCUUAUCCUAAAAUCUGUUGUGAACUUGCCAUCUUUCAUUCACAACCUCUCCUUUCAGCAGUUGUGCAGCAGUCCUAGAUUCCACCUCAUUAUGCAGAGUUGCAGUAGUUCUGUUUUGGUAAGGUUCAUCAGUGCUGGACUGUAGAGGUGAGCAGUUCCUUCACUGGCCGCGAGGGAGUGGAGGCUCAGUUUGAGCAAAAGGUUGCAAGAAGCACCGUAGGAAGAAAAGCGGAUUUUAAAAUGGUAACAUGAUCAAUGUUUUGUGUUUAAAGUUGUGAUUUGUAAAAAAGAACUUGAGGUACUUUGUUUUUUGUUACAGAGGUUUGGUUUCUUCAUAGGCUUGAUUGAGAAAAUUCUAUCUGGGAAUGUGUCAUCUCUGCCUUCUCGACUUAAGGCUUAGUGAAAAAGAAGUAGCAGUUGAGGACACAACACAAUGAGCCUCACUGCUGCUUAAGAAUUUUAAAUUUGGAAUUUCCCUCUUUGCAUUCUACAGCUAUAGAUGCACCUUUACACAAAUAUUGGGCAUAAACCAUAUAAGCCUCAGAAUUCUGACAAUAACUUAAGGAUAUGAAGUGGAACCACUGCAAGAAAUGGAUAAGUGAAGUGGCUUCCCAUGGAGAAAUCCUGUUGAAAACAUGUGCCACAGUACACAGUUCCAACCACCACAACUGAAGGAAGAAGGUCGUUGCUGUCAAGGCUAGCUUCUAGAAGACUACCACGAGUGAGACUGAAACAAAAUUACUAGGAACCAAGACAUUCUAAGUAUUUCCCGUGACUAUGAGAUGUACUUUAGACUUGGAUGCGAGAUUGAUGAGGAGACACCUGAUAAGCUAGAAGUUUUUCAGAGCUAAGGUUGAAUCCUUAUUGGCCAGAGACAUGGAGACAUCUAUUAACUACACUACAAAGGAAGGGAGAUCAAUUUUCUCUACUGUUGAUACAUUGAUACACUAUACCCCUCUUCCUGUAGUUUUGCUGCCUUCAGGUCCGUUAACUGGCUAAAAGAAACCAAUUAUGCCAUCUUCUCAAGAUGAAUGCUCCAAUGUCCAAACCCUUACUUUAAUCCCUAUUGUGAAUUUAUUUU